rnacentral:miRNA from 8 species
CCUUAUCGUUCCCGCGCCCAGC